GGAGGGGGCUAGCGUUGUUCGGAAUUACUGGGCGUAAAGGGCGCGUAGGCGGUAUGCCAUGUCAGGGGUGAAAGGCCUGGGCUCAACCCAGGAACUGCCUUUGAAACUGGCAAACUAGAGUCCGAUAGAGGAUGGCGGAAUUCCCAGUGUAGAGGUGAAAUUCGUAGAUAUUGGGAAGAACACCAGUGGCGAAGGCGGCCAUCUGGAUCGGCACUGACGCUGAGGCGCGAAAGCGUGGGGAGCAAACAGGGAUUAGAUACCCUGGUAGUCCACGCCGUAAACGAUGUGUGCUAGACGUUGGGGGCCCUUAGGCCCUGGGUGUCGCAGCUAACGCGUUAAGCACACCGCCUGGGGAGUACGGCCGCAAGGUUA
rnacentral:rRNA from 1 species